rnacentral:lncRNA from 1 species
UCUGCGUAACCGGCGCGCGCGCUCCGUCCUGCCGUACACACCCGACGCCGCUCGAGGCGCGCGCGUCCUCUCUCACCGUCCCGCCUCCCGCCGCGCUCGGCUACGUUCGGCCGCGCUCGGCUCGCCGCGCCGGCCGUUCGCCGUACACGAACGUACAUGUAUGUACGGGACGCGUAGGUGGCCGUUACGCCGCGCGCGCGUUCCGACGAGUCAAUUCUCCCUCUCGGACGGAAGGAUGACCGCUCAUUCUGCGACCUUUUCGGAACAAGUUGCAAUUGGUGCAAGGUUGUGACUUACUGGAACAUACGAAAGUUACAUAGUCUCGCAGUGCGUCGCAAUAAAGUAACGAUAUCCAAUGAAUAAGUUCCUUCGACAAGAACUGACAUCGCACACUCGCGGAAAGGCGUGGGACGUGAUAAAACACUGCGAAAAAGUAGGUAUUCCACAAAGAUUACUUUUGAGCACACAGAAUGAGGUUUCGUUAUGAAACAACUCCGGAAAGAAGACUAAAUAAACAACUUCGAAGAAGUGAAGGUAUAUAACGUUCGACAAAUUACAAAAGUUUGCGCUGCAGCGGAAAUAACACAGAAUUUCGCUAUUUCAACAAGUUUGUAUUUCAUUUAAUUAGCGACUUACUCUACCUUCACCGUUAUUCGCUUUAACGUCAAUCGAUCGAUUGCGCAAGAGUUAAGUGUGUGCUGUCGUUUUCCAAGACGAUUUUAAUCCACGAAAAACCAAUGUAAAACUGAACGAACUGAUCUUCGAAGAUAGAUGUGGAAAUACAACUAAUUUCACUUGAGUUGCUUUCCAUGUUCUAUUCAGGAUCAAAUUUUUGGGGGGGAGAAAAUUUUACUUGGAAAUGUUUUGAGAUCGUUAACGUAUCGGGAAUACUCUGAUAUCGGAUUAGAAACGUUUAUGAUUUUUGUUUACAUGAUUUUUGUAGCUUAAGUGGUCUAAGAGAGAAACAAUUUUUGCAGCGAAACUGCAACCCCAUAUAAUUUAAUAAAAUCGCAAGACGAUACUAACAGAGAAGCGAUGUAACAAAAAGACCUUUCAACGACAAUAAACCUAAAUUAUGACAUCAUUAGUGUAUGUCGAUCAAAGGGUGAGAAAGGCCCACUCCUGUAAACUCCUGUAAGCUAUUACAUAGUACGAUUACGCUAAUAAAUAACGGGGUUGAACAUACGUGCGUAAUUAAUGACGGGCGCGCGUGUCGUCGUGUGAUUUGCACAGCUAAUAGUUUCCCGUAAAACCGGUAUCCGAUCGAAGGUCUCCCCGCCCUUCCUCGCGCGCGGAUAUUUUAGUACGCCGUGCAUCAGGUUGCAUCCUGUCGCCGCGCCGACGCGCAAUUUCCUUCCGCACGCGACUCGGCGUUCUGGUUUAACGUAUCUCCUAGACCGGAAAUGACACGCGCCAAGCGUAAGACGCCGGAAGCCGUUUCGUACGUAAAAUUCUUGAUCCCGGAAAUCGUAGGCGAAACGACCGAAACGUAACUAUCGGUCCGUGCCGAUCGUGAAAGUGAUCGCGUGCGAGCUGGCGAGCUGACCAGCGAAUCGAAAAUUGUUCCGAAUAUCGCUCUAUAUAUAGAGGUUGAGCAUUCUUUCUUCGAAGACGCUUCCCGAAAGGCACGAGAAUUGUCUCCUCCAUCUCGCGAAUGACUUCCGAAGCAACCGGUGGUUGACGCAAACGAGGUCACGCCGUGACACCUCGUCUGUUUCCAACCCUUUGAGAUUCUAACAAAAGGUACAAGGCGGAAUCGCAAUAAAAUUGACGUAAUUUUUCACCCAAAGCAUUUGUGUACGGUAAACGGGCGAGAUAUUAAUGAAUUGUCAACUUUUCCUUUGAUUCGUAAAAAUUAACGGAGCAUUUGUUUCCCAGUGACAGAUUGACAAAUUGCGAGGGCGAAGGGUGAAAGUAAAUAAAUGACAAAAUCAAACGUGAAUAAUGCAAUAUCCGUCUGACGCAAAUGAUGAAAAAUAAAAGAGAUAUAAUUUUAUCAAUAUCUUCCAAGUGGAUUGCAAUUAUUAUUUAUUUUGACUCAUUAGAGCUAGGAAAAUUUAUAAUCAAUUUGAAUUACUAAUUGAAUUUAUACACCUCUCAAUUUGAUUCUAAAUUGUUCGUAUAUUUCUGUCUUGAAAAAUAUUUUGAAUCUGAAUCAGAUCAAAUAGACUAAAUUUGAACGAGAUAUCAUGAAAAGGGAAAAAAUAAAAGCUUAUUUCUAUUUUUAAAAAAUAUAUUUUUGCAUAAAUGUUUCUUCAUAUAUCAACUGUUUCAUAAAAUUUUUAGAAUAUUCAUUGAAUUGUUCCGUAAUCCAACCGUUUGAUUUAUUAAAAUUUCAUUCUAAAAACUAUUCAAAGUUAAAAAAUUAAAUAUUCCUAAAAUUCCUGAAAGUCUCUAAACCUGAAUUAAUUAAAUGUUACUGAUUUAUAACAGUACUAUGUACUUAUAAUCGUAAUAAUCAGUGAUUGUUCAUUGUCUUUCAGUGAAUAACAUACUAAUUUCGAUUUAAAGUAUUUAACAAGUUUGACAUGUAAUCAGAGGCUAUGUUUGUGCUGUACUACUUGUACUACUUGUGUUAUUAUUAAGUCUGGUAUUAUAACUCUUAAGGUAUUUAUGAUGUCUAACAAUAAGUAGAAAAUUUAUUUGUGCGCAAUUUUUGCGAUAAGGUAAUUUUUCUAAGUCGCGAGGAUAAAUUCUCCUUAAAAGGCUCGCGGGAUCUAGAUCGGGAACGACAUAUAUUGGCAUAAGUAUCUGGGCCAAGUGAAACUGGUUAUGGAAAAGCCUUGCCCCGACGAUGCUGCUUUUCUUUCGAAAGAUGGCCAAACUGGUUUUGACCUUGGCGAAGAUGGCCUCGAUGCGGCUACGCGAAGAAACGUUAAGAUCGCGGCGCAUUCUUCGCCCUAUAUAUGAGAGUUACGUUUUCAUUUGAUAGAAAAAAGUGCAACGGAAGAGACAUAAACAGCAAACUAAAUAAUGAAAACAGUAAAAAUAAAUAGCGAAAGUUUAUGAAUAAACGAACGUUUAUUGUGCAUCGGCUUACGUUAAAAUAUUAAUUAUGUUGCCAAUGUGAAAAUUUUAACGUAAAGCACCAAUCUCUACUAUAAUAAUAAUAAUAAUAAUAUUAUUAUUAUUAUAAUGUAGUACAUAUAGAUAUUGCUACAAAUGAUGUUUCACUGUGAUUUUAUUCUAUAUAACGAUGGUUAUUAGUACAUAUAAAUUAAAUUUUCGCUAUAAUUAAAGAGUUGCGCUGGAACGUCCUGAAUAAUGAACGUUAAUGAAUAUUAAUCUACAUAAUAAGUAAUACAAUAAACAUGAAACAUUCAAAAGUGAAUUCUAGUAACCAUACAACUUUUAUUGAAACGAAAAAGGCUUUAUCUUUAUUUUUUACGUAAAGUAUUAUUUUUUAUAACAAAAGGAAAUCUCUAAUUUCAUAAUCAUGAUAAGAAAUCAUCUUUAAUAAUGUCUUUAAUGCAUCAUUUUCUUCAAUAUACAACGCACAAAUUAAGUGAAAUAGCUUGUGUAUUUUUUACCCUGCGUGUUUAGUUACAUAAAAAAUUUAAUAAUGUCCAGAAUUAACAAGAUAAGCGAUUAAUGUGCAGAUGCUAUAUCUAUGCCUAAGAUUCGCAAGUGUCCUCAAAUUUCUUUUUCCGCGCGUUCAAUUAAAUUCCAUGAACAUGUAUCCUGAAGGUGAAUGAUGCCGUCGAAUGCUGACCGAGACUGAGUCCUAAUUUUCGACAAGACUGAGCGACUCACCACCGUGAUGUAUGGCGUACCGCCAUAUAAGGCGUAUAAUAAUACGAAGUUAGAGACUGCGAUAUCCAUGCCAGGCCUGCGCUCUCUCUCUUUCUCUCUCUCUCUCUCUCUCGGCAGGUCUUCGUGCUGAGAGCGGAGGAAGCUCGUGAAGCCGAGGACUGUAAGACCGCGUAGAUCCCUCUUCGUGGAAGUCUCGUAGGGACGCGGGGGAGCCAACGAGGCAUCCUCUUCCCUUUUUCUUCCUUCCCCCUUCUUCCCUCGCCGUUCCUUUUCUCUCGUUUGCCUUCCUUUACCAUUCGUCCUUCUCUUACCAACGUGCGCGUUUGCACUUCCACUUAUCCUUUUCGUCCUUUCUGCUGGAACGGAGAAGGCAUUCAAGCCGUCCCGCUCUCUUCGUUCCUUUCGGAUCAUACGAUCGCCUUUCUUUUCUUCUCGCAAUGUCCUUGUCUUUUCCGUCUCGCGCAGUUUCCUUUUGCUUGUCUUCUCUUCUUCCUGUAGCCAUGAUUUUCUCUACGAGGUUGCUUCUUCCGCUUGUAAUUACUGUCGAUAUGUUCUGUCUAUGUCGCCAUUUGUGAAUUUCUUUUUCUCAUACACUUUAUUUUAUUUAUCUCGUUCUUAAUGAGUUUUAAAUCUCACAAGCAUUUUAUUGUGAACUGUUGGAAAUGCUUUUGAAACUUCUUUAGACUAUUCAUGGAUUUGUAUCGCAAACUCUAUUGUUUCUCUCCUCCCCUUUCUCAUAUAAUUUUCUUCCUCUUAUACAUUUUUUAUAAUUUCAAUAUAAUACCUCUUCAUCUCCCUACUUAUUACGAUCUCUUGUGACCUGUGGAAUUUCUUGUAUCAACAUAUUUGCCAUUUAUAUCCGUCAUUUCCCUUUCAUCUCGCGCUGCACCUUUCUCGCUGCAUCCAGUUUCGCCUUCUCCAUCGUUUCCAUCCGCCUUCUUUCCCGGCUGGGGCAACCAUUAUAUACCUCGCGAUACGUCUCGCCGCCUGUAGCGACUGCUGCGACCGUGCAACGUUGCAUCCCGUCGACUGCAUUCCGUUCAAACUACCUCGGACGACUGCGUCUUUUGAUAGUCGCAAUUCGAAGAAGGAGCUUCCCUAGUUUCAGAUAGUCUUCCUUUGGUUACUUGCCAAGUAUAGCUUUGAACAGCAGCUUCCAUAUAAAUGCGAUACACAUGCCAAUGUGUUAACAAUUUUAAAUUUUUUCACCGUGCUAUCGUAAUCGAUAUGCAACUUGUUUGUAAAUUUGUCCAAUUGAAGUUCUUUAGACGACUGAUCUUGUAAUUUGAAAAAGUCGAUUUAUUAUCAAUCAAUCAGAUAAAUCAAUUCUGAAAAAUCAACAAAAAUUUAAUAAGUUUAUAUUAUUUUAUACCUAAAUAACAGUUCCAUAAUAAAUGUAAUUAUUGCUUGUUUAUGUUAUAUUAAUUUUGAUUAUGAUGUUUUCUAACUUAUUUUACGAUUAAUAAUUUAAAGAACAAUAUCUCGAGAUAAAAAAUUAAUAUAAAAAAAUCAUUAUUUAUGCAUAUCGACUUGGUCACUUUUUACAACAUUAUUCGAAGGAAAACUUCUUGCCUCUGUUACCUCUCCAAUGAUGCGAGUGGUCGGAAAAGUCGGGAGGAAGAAAGAGGGUGCGUGAUGGAUCUCGGGGCGCCCAGAUCGCGAUUCGGGGCUUUAGGCCCCGAGCCACACAGAUCCCAAAGAGGACAAUAGACAGACCGUUAGACGCGGUGCAGAGCAAGGUACAUCGGACUGAAUCUUGGCCUGGGAAUGCUUGAACGAAGGGCAUCUUGAGGGACCUCGACCCGAGUCGAGGGUCCCGCCGGGGCUUGGAGAAACUGGUUUACCUGCCACCUUCUUCGUCGUCCUCUCUUUUCUCCGGACGUGGCGGUUCCGUGGCGAUGGAACGGCGAAGAAUGCAAAGACGCAGCAGCACGAACGUCUCUCUUUCUCUCUAUCUCUCUCUUGAAGAGAAGACGACAAUAAUCGGCUGAAUUUCUUCACAGUUUACUCUAGUUUUUCGUCGACCACCAAAAUUCCACAAAGUAUGAGAAUAAUCCGUUAUCUGAUAUUAUCCGGAAGAGCAUUUAAAUUUGAGCUGAUUUUAUAGAAUGGUAUUGGCUGUGUCUUUGUGUUUUCUGCGAUAAAACUCAUUACAAUACGAGAGAUUUCCAAUUCGAUAUCUCGAAUGUGAAUUUUUUCUUCGAAAAUUUUAGCUUUCUUUAUAGACUUGUUUAGAUAUGACGAUAAGUCAAACAUUGGUUAAUACAAUGGUAAUAAAGAUAAUAUCUUUGCAAUACGUUCCGUUUCUCUCCUGCGCUCCUCGCUGUCUUGUAGAACCUAGAAUUUUCGUGUGGAGGGGAGAAGAAGGUUUCACGGGAGCUGCGUGGUAACUGAGAACGCGCAUUUAAAUUGCAACUUAGGACACGGGAACAUUGUAACGGGAAUUUCUUCCGAUGGCUUGGCUGUGAUUCCAAAUGGGAAUACAUGCACACGAAGGCACAUAAAUGAUGUUAUCUAGGGGCGCCUGCACGCUGGAAUUUCUAAUAUCGGACAUAGCAUCGAGUCGAAUAUUUUAUCCUUUAAUCUCUGAGUAAUUUCAGAUGAUAUCUUGAAUAGCUGCAAGCGGUUUUCAAAUUGCCGGGUCACAGUAAUAAAGAUGUUUACAAAAUUACUUAAAAAAUAUAUCUUUACAUACGGGGAAAUCUCUAUAAAAUGGAUUCCACCUACAAUUUUGUUAUUUCUUUAUUUUAAAUUAAAUUAACUUACAUUAAAUUAAUUGUUUUGAUAAUACAACUUUAGCAGUAUUUGACAUUUUAUGAUGUCGUUAAUCUUUCUUUAAAUUUAUUAAUCUUUCAAUAAAAAAAAAAUACAUUUUUAAGUAGCACUAAAAAUUUAUUAUAAGUUGGGAAGUUUUUAUAUAUCGGAAGAAUUUUUGGAAUCUUGUGAAAUAUUGUUUGCAACAGAUUGCUACAGAUAUGAGCAUAUCGCUCGCGGUAUCGUAUUAUUAACAACAGUACAACUUACGUCAUCUUCGAAUAUUCAUUUAAGAAUUUAUUAAGAUUUAUCGGCGAAAUGUCAAAUGUCAGCCGUGUUUAAUGAUGUAACCUAGUUUACUUUGCUUUAAAUUUUCUUUAUUUGCACCUUUUUCUUGAGACUGAUUAAAGUUUUCUUAAAACUGAUUAAAAAUUUUAAGUAUCUUUCUCGUAAUAAUAGGAUCGUAUAUUUACAUGUAAUUCGUGUAUAAGUAUGUAUCUUUGUUAUUAAAAUAAGGACAUAACUUCGUGUACUUUUUAUUUUUUAUUAUAAUUUAUUAUAAACUCCUAUUGACGACAAACAGUUAUCAAAAUUUAUUGUAAAAAUAUUGAUUGAAUUAUGAUUUGUAAUAAAUAUAAUAUCUUUAAAAUAAUAAUAUACGAUACAACGGGAAUAGUUAUAAAUUCUAUAUUAAAUGUAUAAGUAGUAUAGUGAUAUCAUGCGUGUAAUUAUAAUUGCAGAUUAGUUACAAUUAAUUGAGCUGAUUCACGUUUACAAGUAGUGUCCUGCAUUAUUAAUAAGUUAAUUUAAUCACUAAUUUUGCUGCCUUCUAAUACUAUCAAUCAAUAUUGUAUUUAAGUAGGAACAAUUUAUAUCUAUCUUACAAAUUUGUACAAGGCUAAAGACAAUGUUGAUUCAAUUGCCACUUGCGUAUGCAGACCAUUAAAUCUCGUUAAAGGAUUUAUAGAUUUUAAUUAUUUGAAGAGAAGUGCAUGCAGCAGGAGGAGGAAGAGAAGGAAGUGGAAAUCUUGUUUCUCCGAGGAUAAAGAGAUUUCUCAAUGAGGAUUUUCUCUUCUAUAUCGAGAACUUAUUAUUUCGGAUUUUCUUGAAGAGCGGAAAUCUUCUUGUUACAUCGCGCGUAAAGAAUUUCCGACGGUUCAGAAUUGAAGCUUGUUGCUUAUUUGCGAUUAUAAAAUCUACACACGUGACUUGCACACGACUAAUUACAUCGGCGUGGUCUAUUGCUCGAGAACAAGAUUUCCGCGCUUGGUUCAAUUACACUUUACUUGAUUCUAAUCUACUGAAGGAGGGAUUAAUUGCAUCGUGAUGAAAGUGCGAAAACUCGAUGUUUGAAGAAUAUUCCCAUGUCGCUAAUUACCAAUGUGAUAAUACUCAAUUUAUCUUUUCUAUGUACGGUGACAUUAUUAAAUUUUUGCUAUUGUAGCAAUGAAAGGAAGCAAAUUUCCUGUUUAUGUGAUUUGUUAUUUCAUUUUUUAAAUUGGUAUAUAAUUGUCGAGAAUUUCUAAAAUUUAAAAAGAUCUUUUUCGAAGCCCGAUAUUUUGUAUGAAAUUUUAUUAAAGACGCGCAUUGACUUCGAUUUCAACGAGAAAUCCAUAGUUGAAAGGCCUCGUGGUGAAUUCACAAGAUCCUUUUGUACAGGGCACAUGUAAAUGCGAGUAAAUGCACACACGGCCGAGUACGUAUAAAGGGAAUGAAUUAACAUCAGUAAUAUAUGCGAUCCUAGAAUUUCCGCAAUGCGGCGCUGUUUAGGCUUGCAUGCAUCUCAUCAUGGCGUGCGUACAUAGAGAAAAGUCACCAAUACGGGUAUACCACUUUGUUUUUGGAUAGUAUUUUUUAAACAAAAGUUGAAAAGAAAAUUUUAAAAACAGUAUUUCUGUAUUUAUUUAUCCAUUAUUUGCAUUAUUUUAAUACUAAAAAGUGUCGAAUAUUAUUUUAACACAAAAUAUUUAAACAACACAAUCUUAUGUCAAGUUAAAAAGUAUAUUAAAAAGUCAACACAAAAACUCUAACAAGAAAGAUUUCAACACAAGUACAAAAUGUUUUUUGUGAUACAUAAACGUUUAAUUAAAUUAUUUCUAAUAGAGAGAGAGAGGGGGGAGUAUAUGAUGAGUAUAGGAUGAUAGGGGGAGUAUAGGAUGAGAGAAUGAAAACCAUAAAUCCUCGCGGAAACUCAUCUGUCACUCAAAUAUGAGUGACAGGGCAAUCAAAGUAUUAACGCGGCAAGCGAGCUAACUACCCCAUUUAAUGACAUUUGUGGCAUCUAUCGCAUAAGAUCGCUGCGGUAAUACGAGAGAGCUUCAAGGGGUCAUUGACGGUGGAACAAAGGCUAUAAUGGCGCGAGAUUUUGGCACGGUAUCCGGUCGAAUGCCGUGAGCCACAUAGAUGCUUGCCAGGAUUCUACAAGUGGUUGACCCUGGCCGCGAGACGGCACGACGCAACACGACGCGACAGUCUGCCCCGCCGCAGGUAUUGAUACGUGAACGCGAACGGAAAGUACAUUUGGUCAUCACCGAUCGCUAGUCGCCGCUUAUUGAACGGUUAAACAUUUUGCCUCAUAUUAUUUACCUCGCAGUAUAAUCUCUCGUAUUUAGGCACUAUAUUACUUCGGCUCUAUAUUAACUUUAUCGCGUCGAAUACGCCGUGCUGAAUCCAUUAGGGAAGUUCAUAAUUGUGCAACGCGGAAAGGGAUCGAUGCGACUACUCUGAAAAUGCCUGUUCGAGAAACAAGGAGCGAGAAACAUCCUCCUCGCCGAAGGAGAUCGGUCCAUCGGGUUGUUGGGUUUGGAAUCCCAAUAGACGUGGAUGAACCCCGGCAUUCCGGCUCGUACCUCAUCAUUUGAACGCGUCUGCGAUCCAGCGCGACGAUGAAUUUUCGUGUCAUGGACGCGAACGCGCGGCAAUAGAUAUAGCCGCAGAAUAAAUCAAUUGCUUGCGCGUACUUUUGCUUACGGCGCUAUAAAAAAAAAAAAAAAAAAA